rnacentral:rRNA from 1 species
UACGUAGGGGGCUAGCGUUGUCCGGAAUCAUUGGGCGUAAAGCGCGCGUAGGCGGCCCGGUAAGUCCGCUGUGAAAGUCAAAGGCUCAACCUUUGAAUGUCAGCGGAUACUGCCAGGCUAGAGUCCGGAAGAGGCGAGUGGAACUCCUGGUGUAGCGGUGGAAUGCGCAGAUAUCAGGAAGAACACCAAUGGCGAAAGCAGCUCUCUGGGACGGUACUGACGCUGAGACGCGAAAGCGUGGGGAGCGAACAGG